rnacentral:rRNA from 1 species
CCUGCUCAAUGUAUAUAUAUAAAUAGCCGCUUAUUAAGUGCUAAGGUAGCAUAAUCACUUGUCUCUCAAUUAGAGAAUAGAAUGAAUGAGAAAACGAGUUUAAAACUUUAUUAAAAUUACUAUGAAAAACUUAUAUAAAUGUUAAAAAGCCUUUUCAAUAAGAUUAGACGACAAGACCCUUUAGAACUUUACUAAAAGUUUAACUGGGGUGGUAAUAUAUUAAAUCUAUUAUAUAUAUAAUAACAAUAACCUAAUAAGAUGAUACAAGUUACCUAAGGGAUAACAGCACAAUAUAACUGUAAAGAUCUUAUAAAAAGCUAUAUUUGUGACCUCGAUGUUGAAUUAUACCCUCUAUUAAUAGAAAAUUAUUAAAAAGUAAGUCUGUUCGACUUUUAAAAGUAUACAU